rnacentral:rRNA from 1 species
AACGAACGCUGGCGGCGUGCCUAACACAUGCAAGUCGAACGUGAUUGAGAGCUUGCUCUCAUGAAAGUGGCGCACGGGUGAGUAACGCGUAGAUAAUCUACCUGGUGAUCCGGAAUAACACUUCGAAAGGGGUGCUAAUACCUGAUAAGCCCACGGAGUCUUUGGACUCUGCGGGAAAAGGGGGGGACUUUCGGGCCUUCCGUCAUCAGAUGAGUCGGCGUACCAUUAGCUAGUUGGUAGGGUAAAGGCCUACCAAGGCGACGAUGGUUAGCUGGUCUGAGAGUAUGAUCAGCCACACUGGAACUGGGACACGGUCCAGACUCCUACGGGAGGCAGCAGUGGGGAAUUUUGCGCAAUGGGCGAAAGCCUGACGCAGCAACGCCGCGUGAGUGAUGAAGGCCCUUGGGUCGUAAAGCUCUGACAGAGGGAAAGAAAUGCAGGGGGGCUAAUAUCUUCCUUGCUUGACGGUACCCUCAAAGGAAGCACCGGCUAACUCCGUGCCAGCCGCCGCUGUAACAC